rnacentral:rRNA from 1 species
GAUGAACGCUGGCGGCGUGCUUAACACAUGCCAGUCGAACGAGAAGUGAAGACGGAAACCUUCGGGCGGAAGGCUUUAUUUCGAGUGGCGGACGGGUGAGUAACGCGUGGGUAACCUGCCUCAUACAGGGGGAUAACAGUUGGAAACGACUGUUAAUACCGCAUAAGACCACAGCACCGCAUGGUGCGGGGGUAAAAACUCCGGUGGUAUGAGAUGGACCCGCGUUCGAUUAGCCAGUUGGCGGGGUAACGGCCCACCAAAGCGACGAUCGAUAGCCGAUCUGAGAGGAUGACCGGCCACAUUGGGACUGAGACACGGCCCAAACUCCUACGGGAGGCAGCAGUGGGGAAUAAUGCACAAUGGGGGAAACCCUGAUGCAGCGACGCCGCGUGAGUGAAGAAGUAUUUCGGUAUGUAAAGCUCUAUCAGCAGGGAAGAAAAUGACGGUACCUGAGUAAGAAGCCCCGGCUAACUACGUG